UCGUCGUCAAGCUUGGGCCCUCCUUCCCUCGAAAACCAAACGGAGGAGCGAUGGACUCCCGCCACCAGCGGCUGGCGACGCUGACCAAGGCCCUGACGGCGCACGUCAACGCCGGCCGCCACGGCGACGCGCUCGCCUUCUUCGCCCACAUGGCCUCCGACCCGGCGCUCCCGCCGCUCGCCGACCCGUCCUUCGCGUACGCCCUCCCGCUCGCGCUCAAGUCCGCCGCCGCGCUCCGCCUGCCCUCGUCCGCCGCCGCCGCCCCCAUACACGCGCUCGCGCGCAAGUGCCGCGGCCUCCUCAGCAACCCCUUCGUCGCCUCCGCGCUCGUCGUCUCCUAUGGUGCAUGUGCCGGCUCCUCCCCCGAGUCCGCGCGCCGCCUGUUCGACGAAUUGCCUGGCCGCACCGCCGUCGUCUGGAGCGCCAUGAUCUCCGUCUACGUCAGGUCAGGGGACGUCGCCGCGGCCGCGCGGGCGCUCGGCGAGAUGGACGUCGUGCCGACUGCCUCCUGCUUCAACUCGGUGAUUGCGGCGGUGGCGGAGUCUGGGGACCGUCCCGCCCGGGCCGUCGAGCUCUACCGGCGGAUGCAGGGGAUGGGCGUCAGGCCCUCGCUCAUCACCCUGCUGGCGCUCGUCCCUGUGUGCACCGCGCUGGGAGCGCUGGGCUCGGUCAGGGAGGUGCACAGCUUCGCAUUGCGGCACGACAUGUUCGCGAGUUGCCACCUCGGCAGCUCCCUCAUCGAGGCGUACGGGCAGUGCGGCUCUUUGGUCGGCGCACAGAGGGUUUUCGACCUGGUGGACGAGCGUGACGUGGUUGUCUGGAGCGCCAUGGUGUCGGCGUACGCGUUCCAUGGCCAUGGAAACGUCGCGAUGUCGCUUUUCAGGCGUAUGGAGCUGGAUAAGGUCCGGCCUGAUGGCAUAAUGUUCCUUGGCGUGUUGAAGGCCUGCGGCCAUGCUGGUCGCGCAGAUGAGGCUUUGAAGUACUUUGAUGUGUUAACCAAGACGCAUGGAGUCGAAGCAUGUGGAGAUCAUUAUUCAUGCUUGGUUGAUGUCUUGGGACGGGCAGGGAGGUUGCAUCAGGCCUAUGAUGUUAUACGGACGAUGCCGGUUAGAGUUACCGCAAAGGCCUGGGGUGCUCUCCUUGCUGCUUGCAGGAAGUAUGGGGAGGUGGGGCUGGCAGAAGUUGCAGCGAGAGCGUUGUUUGAGAUUGAACCAGAGAAUGCAGGGAACUUUGUUUCGCUUGCAAAUGUCUAUUCGGGCUUGGGUAUGCAUGAGGAGGCAGAGCGGGUGAGAAGGGACAUGGAGCAACGAGGCUUGCAGAGCUCACCUGGAAGCAGUUGGACGAUACACCGCAAGUCAAGUGAACUUGUCUGAAGAAGGAGGUUGACAUUUGGAAAUUUCAAGUUUAUUCGGAUACACAAUUUCUGUGUCCAUGAAAAUGAAGGGAGCACACUGACAUUGAAUGAAAAUUUGGCCGACAGGAGGAAGUGCGGCCAUAAGAGGGUAUCCAUUGUUACUUUUGCAGGUGGGACCCUCCAAGUGGAGAACAGGAAAUGAUACCACCGAGAGCAAAUUACUUCGUGCUGAUCUGUUUGUUAGGCAGGCGGUGAGAUCAGCGGCAAGCACUAGCGGCCACCAGCAGAUGCAUGUGGACCACAGCACCAUCAUCAUCCAGUACCACGGACGGACGGCUGGCCGUGCAAGUCAGUCCACUUCGUAUGACGCAAGGU